GGUGUUGUGGCUCAGUGGUAGAGCGUUUGCCUGGCAUGUGUGAGAAACUGGGUUCAAUUCUUAGCACCACAA
rfam:Ictidomys tridecemlineatus contig026090, whole genome shotgun sequence.